UCCCUGGCAGUUCAGUGAUCAGGAUUCCACACUCUUACUGCCAAGGUCCUGGGUUCAAUUCCUAGUCAGGGAA
rnacentral:tRNA from 1 species